rnacentral:tRNA from 1 species
AGUAGGUUGGCAGAAUUAUGCCCUUGUUUUAGGAACAAGUCAUAGGAUUAUAUCCUACCUACUA